rnacentral:rRNA from 1 species
UACGGAGGGAGCUAGCGUUGUUCGGAAUCACUGGGCGUAAAGCGCACGUAGGCGGCUUUGUAAGUUAGAGGUGAAAGCCCGGGGCUCAACUCCGGAACUGCCUUUAAGACUGCAUCGCUUGAAUCUGGGAGAGGUAAGUGGAAUUCCGAGUGUAGAGGUGAAAUUCGUAGAUAUUCGGAAGAACACCAGUGGCGAAGGCGGCUUACUGGACCAGAAUUGACGCUGAGGUGCGAAAGCGUGGGGAG